rnacentral:rRNA from 1 species
CCUACGGGAGGCAGCAGUGAGGAAUAUUGGUCAAUGGGCGCGAGCCUGAACCAGCCAAGUCGCGUGAAGGAUGACUGCCCUACGGGUUGUAAACCUCUUUUAUAAGGGAAUAAAGUGCGGCACGUGUGCCUUUUUGUAAGUACUUUAUGAAUAAGGAUCGGCUAACUCCGUGCCAGCAGCCGCGGUAAUACGGAGGAUCCGAGCGUUAUCCGGAUUUAUUGGGUUUAAAGGGAGCGUAGUUGGGUUGUUAAGUCAGUGGUGAAAGUUUGCGGCUCAACCGUAAAAUUGCCAUUGAUACUGGCAGUCUUGAGUACAGUUGAGGUAGGCGGAAGGCGUGGUGUAGCGGUGAAAUGCUUAGAUAUCACGAAGAACUCCGAUUGCGAAGGCAGCUUACUAAACUGCCACUGACAUUGAUGCUCGAAAGUGUGGGUAUCGAACAGGAUUAGAUACCCGGGUAGUC